rnacentral:rRNA from 1 species
GAUGAACGCUGGCGGCGUGCUUAACACAUGCAAGUCGAACGUGAGGGUGCAGCGAUGUGCCUGGAAGUGGCGAACGGGUGAGUAACACGUAGAUGACCUGCCCUGGAGUGGGGGAUAACCAUUGGAAACGGUGGCUAAUACCGCAUACAUCCGGAGAACUGGGAAGUUUUCUGGGGAAAGCUCUGGUGCUUCAGGAGGGGUCUGCGUCCGAUUAGCUAGUUGGUGGGUAAAGGCUCACCAAGGCGACGAUCGGUAGCUGGUCUGAGAGGACGAUCAGCCACACGGGAACUGAGACACGGUCCCGACUCCUACGGGGGGCAGCAGUGAGGAAUAUUGGGCAAUGGGCGGAAGCCUGACCCAGCAACGCCGCGUGGAGGAAGACGGCCCUUCGGGUUGGUAAACUACCCUUUUGUACGGGGAAGAGAGAGGACGGUACCGUCGAA